rnacentral:rRNA from 1 species
AUCUACAUCCAUAACGCCCUGCACAUGCCCAAUCUCAUCGGAUCUUAGAAGCUAAGGAGGGUCUAGCCUAUUAGUAAUUGAAAGGGAGAGUGCUAGUUU